AAAUAGCCCUGAUUGCAGCGGCAUCCUUUUUCUUUCGCAUAGCGAAGAAAAAGAUACAGCGGAAAGCAGGUUCCCGG
rnacentral:sRNA from 1 species